rnacentral:rRNA from 1 species
UCCUACGGGGGGCUGCAGUAGGGAAUCUUGCGCAAUGGGCGAAAGCCUGACGCAGCAACGCCGCGUGAGGGAAGAAGGCUUUCGGGUUGUAAACCUCUUUCAGGUGGGACGAAGCUUCCAGGGUUAAUAGCCCAUGGGGUGACGGUACCUCCAGAAGAAGCCCCGGCUAACUACGUGCCAGCAGCCGCGGUAAUACGUAGGGGGCAAGCGUUGUCCGGAAUCAUUGGGCGUAAAGCGCGUGUAGGCGGCUUGAUAAGUCCGGGGUGAAACCUUGGGGCUCAACCCCAAGCCUGCACCGGAUACUGUCUCGCUUGAGUUCGGGAGGGGAGAGCGGAAUUCCUAGUGUAGCGGUGAAAUGCGCAGAUAUUAGGAAGAACACCAAUGGCGAAGGCAGCUCUCUGGAACGAUACUGACGCUGAGACGCGAAAGCGUGGGGAGCGAACAGGAUUAGAUACCCUAGUAGUCU